rnacentral:rRNA from 1 species
CUACGGGGGGCUGCAGUGAGGAAUAUUGGGCAAUGGAGGCAACUCUGACCCAGCCAUGCCGCGUGCAGGAAGACGGCCCUCUGGGUUGUAAACUGCUUUUGUUUGGGAAUAAACCCUUCUACGUGUAGGAGGCUGAAGGUACCAUUCGAAUAAGGAUCGGCUAACUCCGUGCCAGCAGCCGCGGUAAUACGGAGGAUCCAAGCGUUAUCCGGAUUUAUUGGGUUUAAAGGGUCCGUAGGCGGGUCUUUAAGUCAGUGGUGAAAGCCCACAGCUCAACUGUGGAACUGCCAUUGAUACUGGAGAUCUUGAGUGUAGUAGAAGUAGGCGGAAUAGGGCAUGUAGCGGUGAAAUGCAUAGAUAUGCCCUAGAACACCGAUUGCGAAGGCAGCUUACUAUGUUACAACUGACGCUGAGGGACGAAAGCGUGGGGAGCAAACAGGAUUAGAUACCCUAGUAGUC